rnacentral:lncRNA from 1 species
UUUCCCUCUAGACGUCUUUUGGUUAUUUUAUGAACUCUACCUUUUUGAAUUUACCUUUGUCAUGUUCAUGUUGUUUAGUUUUGGGUCAAAUUUAUUUUGUAAUUGGGUGUCUGUCGCAUUGAUGUAUAGCAUUGUCCAACUCAUCUCCUCUUAUUCAUAAUUUAUAAUAAAACUUUCAUCGCAAUACAUCAAUCAAAGAGUAAAACAUCAUUGGAGGUAUUUAAAUGAAAACAUUAAACUUGGACACCUUUUUAGAUCAAUAAAUGGUUUCAUGAUUAACCUUUUAAGAUAUUUU